rnacentral:misc_RNA from 1 species
ACCUCCCUUGGAACUAUCGCAUCGCAGCUCUACUUAAGUCCCACUUGAAAACAUCCAUCAAAAGUGUUGUUGUUCCGAGAUUAGAGAGCGGUCCAAAUAAAGCAGCUAACGAAGCAAUACUUUUACUCAUUGAAGUAUAAUGGCAUCCGGCGGCUUAACGUGUGUAAAAUACUUGACAUUCUUUUGCAAUCUUCUUUUUGCGCUCACUGGGCUUCUUAUUUUUCUGGUGGGAGGCAUGGUCCAACUAAACUAUGCACAUUAUUCGAGCUUCGUUAGCGAUCACGUCUGGACCGCUCCUAUCAUACUAAUUAUUGUCGGUGCCGCUGUAGCAGUCAUAUGCUUCUUGGGAUGUUGUGGAGCCUUAAAAGAAAGCAGCUGUAUGAUACUCAGCUUUGCCCUCCUUGCGGUCGUGAUAUUUUUGUUUGAGAUCGGACUGGGCCUUGCUGGCUAUGUGAAGCAUACCGGUCUUCAUCAGGUUAUGGAGUGUCAGUUUAACUCGACCAUGCAGCACUACAAGGAACGGGCCGACUAUCGCGAUGCUUGGACUUUGCUGCAAACCGAGCUAGAUUGUUGCGGCAUCAAUGGGCCCAACGACUGGGAAACCAUUUUUCGUAAUAGUACCCUACCUGCAGCCUGCUGUUCUCUUAUUAAUUUAAGCGAGGCCAAGGAAUGUACAAAUGUUCACGCAACUCAGCAUGGCUGCUUGCAGAAGCUCUUAGAGAUUUUGGAUUCGAAGACAUUAAUUUUGGCCUCCGUUGUUUUGGGAGUGGCGGGUAUACAGAUGCUCACUAUACUGUUCGCUUGCUGCCUCUAUCGUUCGUUUCGCAGGAGCUACGAUCAUGUUUAGAAUGCGAAGUGAGGAUCCCGUAUGCCGAUUUUAAAAGGAAACAACAGUUUUUGUCAUACCAUGCUUCACAAGAACUAUUACAAAAAAUUUUUACGACAUGGGGACAAUCUAGAUACUGCCAGUACUGCCGAAUUAUUAAAGCGAGGAAUGAAAUGAUUGAACGAUUGUGGGCAAACUGCUAAAAGUCUGAGAACUGUGUACCAUGAUGAAAAAUAGAUAUUCUGUGAACAUAUAGAUAUGUAUGUAACUAAUAAAAUACAAUCUUUAAAUAUAUGUUUUUCAUGUAUUGCAUUUUCUUCAGAUAAGUAACAAUUUUUUCAACAUAAAACAUCAUCAUUAUCACAGUACAGUCAAAUAAAGACUAACGAAAAAAAAAAAUCUAAAAAAAUAUGCCUAAAUAUAUCGAAUUUACAAUUUUGAUAUCGACUUAUAUGAAGAUUAACUUUGAGGCUUUACAAUAAAACAACCACUAUACAACUA